GACGAACGCUGGCGGCGUGCUUAACACAUGCAAGUCGAACGGAAAGGCCCUGCUUUUGUGGGGUGCUCGAGUGGCGAACGGGUGAGUAACACGUGAGUAACCUGCCCUUGACUUUGGGAUAACUUCAGGAAACUGGGGCUGAUACCGGAUAGGAGCUCCUGCUGCAUGGUGGGGGCUGGAAAGUUUCGGCGGUUGGGGAUGGACUCGCGGCUUAUCAGCUUGUUGGUGGGGUAGUGGCUUACCAAGGCUUUGACGGGUAGCCGGCCUGAGAGGGUGACCGGCCCCAUUGGGACUGCGAUACGGCCCAGACUCCUACGGGCGGCAGCAGUGGGGAAUAUUGCACAAUGGGCGGACGCCUGAUGCAGCAACGCCGCGUGCGGGAUGACGGCCUUCGGGUUGUAAACCGCUUUCGCCUGUGACGAAGCGUGAGUGACGGUAAUGGGUAAAGAAGCACCGGCUAACUACGUG
rnacentral:rRNA from 1 species